rnacentral:rRNA from 1 species
AGCGAACGCUGGCGGCAUGCCUUACACAUGCAAGUCGAACGGCAGCACGGGAGCAAUCCUGGUGGCGAGUGGCGAACGGGUGAGUAAAGUAUCGGAACGUGCCCAGUCGUGGGGGAUAACGUAGCGAAAGUUACGCUAAUACCGCAUACGAUCUAUGGAUGAAAGCGGGGGAUCGCAAGACCUCGCGCGAUUGGAGCGGCCGAUAUCAGAUUAGGUAGUUGGUGGGGUAAAGGCUCACCAAGCCGACGAUCUGUAGCUGGUCUGAGAGGACGACCAGCCACACUGGGACUGAGACACGGCCCAGACUCCUACGGGAGGCAGCAGUGGGGAAUUUUGGACAAUGGGCGAAAGCCUGAUCCAGCCGUGCCGCGUGCAGGAUGAAGGCCUUCGGGUUGUAAACUGCUUUUGUACGGAACGAAAAGGUUUGGCCUAAUAAGCUGAGCUCAUGACGGUACCGUAAGAAUAAGCACCGGCUAACUACGUGCCAGCAGCCGCCGUAA